UAGGCGGCUUUGUAAGUCAGAUGUGAAAUCUAUGGGCUCAACCCAUAAACUGCAUUUGAAACUAUAGAGCUUGAGUGAAGUAGAGGCAGGCGGAAUUCCCUGUGUAGCGGUGAAAUGCGUAGAGAUAGGGAGGAACACCAGUGGCGAAGGCGGCCUGCUGGGCUUUAACUGACGCUGAGGCACGAAAGCGUGGGUAGCAAACAGGAUUAGAUACCCUGGUAGUCCACGCUGUAAACGAUGAUUACUAGGUGUGGGGGGACUGACCCNUCCGUGCCGGAGUUAACGCAAUAAGCAAUCCCCUGGGGGAUACGGCCGCAAGUUGAACUCCAAGGANUGACGGGGGCCCNCCCANCAU
rnacentral:rRNA from 1 species